rnacentral:lncRNA from 1 species
AGUCGGGUUUCAGAACACUAACACUUCGUGUGUAACAUUUAAAUGUAGAUACAUAAUCAAAAAUAAAAAUUAUAUCAUAUAAAUUUGUUUUGUUUCGAAGAUAAUUUUGCGCUUUGAAAAGGCGAGUCAAAAUCUACUUUGAAUUAAAAAAAAAGAGUCAGAUAAUUAAAGAUUAAUGUUAUUUUAACUAUACAUGUGAUUUUAUAUAUAUAGUUCAUAGUCGAUUUGUUAUUAUUUGGAUAUAUUGGACUGCAUAUA